rnacentral:rRNA from 1 species
UCGGGAAUUUUGCGCAAUGGACGAAAGUCUGACGCAGCAACGCCGCGUGAGGGAUGAAGGCCUUCGGGUUGUAAACCUCUUUUCUCAGGGAAGAUAAUGACGGUACCUGAGGAAGAAGCCACGGCUAACUACGUGCCAGCAGCCGCGGUAAUACGUAGGUGGCAAGCGUUGUCCGGAUUUACUGGGCGUAAAGAGCGCGCAGGCGGUUGUGCAAGUCGCGUGUGAAAGCCCCCGGCUCAACUGGGGAGGGUCACGCGAUACUGCUCAACUCGAAGGCAGGAGAGGGAAGUGGAAUUCCCGGUGUAGUGGUGAAAUGCGUAGAUAUCGGGAGGAACACCAGUGGCGAAGGCGACUUCCUGGCCUGUUCUUGACGCUGAGGCGCGAAAGCUAGGGUAGCAAACGGGAUUAGAUACCCCGGUAGUCCUAGCCGUAAACGAUGGACACUAGGUGUUGGUGGUAUCAACCCCGCCAGUGCCGAAGCCAACGCAUUAAGUGUCCCGCCUGGGGA